rnacentral:rRNA from 1 species
AGAGUUUGAUCCUGGCUCAGGAUGAACGCUAGCUACAGGCUUAACACAUGCAAGUCGAGGGGAAACGAUAUUGGAAGCUUGCUUCCGAUAGGCGUCGACCGGCGCACGGGUGAGUAACGCGUAUCCAACCUGCCCACCACUUGGGGAUAACCUUGCGAAAGUAAGACUAAUACCCAAUGACGUCUCUAGAAGACAUCUGAAAGAGAUUAAAGAUUUAUACGGUGAUGGAUGGGGAUGCGUCUGAUUAGCUUGUUGGCGGGGUUAACGGCCACCAAGGCUACGAUCAGUAGGGGUUCUGAGAGGAAGGUCCCCCACAUUCGGAACUGAGACACGGUCCAAACUCCUACGGGAGCA